rnacentral:rRNA from 1 species
GAUGAACGCUGGCGGCGUGCCUAAUACAUGCAAGUCGAGCGAACAGACGAGGAGCUUGCUCCUCUGACGUUAGCGGCGGACGGGUGAGUAACACGUGGAUAACCUACCUAUAAGACUGGGAUAACUUCGGGAAACCGGAGCUAAUACCGGAUAAUAUAUUGAACCGCAUGGUUCAAUAGUGAAAGACGGUUUUGCUGUCACUUAUAGAUGGAUCCGCGCCGCAUUAGCUAGUUGGUAAGGUAACGGCUUACCAAGGCAACGAUGCGUAGCCGACCUGAGAGGGUGAUCAGCCACACUGGAACUGAGACACGGUCCAGACUCCUACGGGAGGCAGCAGUAGGGAAUCUUCCGCAAUGGGCGAAAGCCUGACGGAGCAACGCCGCGUGAGUGAUGAAGGCCUUCGGAUCGUAAAACUCUGUUAUUAGGGAAGAACAAAUGUGUAAGUAACUAUGCACGUCUUGACGGUACCUAAUCAGAAAGCCACGGCUAACUACGUG